UACAGAGGUCUCAAGCGUUGUUCGGAUUUACUGGGCGUAAAGAGUGUGUAGGCGGUGCUCUAAGUUCGGUGUGAAAUCUCCUGGCUUAACUGGGAGGGUGCGCCGGAAACUGGAGUGCUCGAGCGUGGGAGAGGAAAGCGGAAUUCCUGGUGUAGCGGUGAAAUGCGUAGAUAUCAGGAGGAACACCUGUGGUGUAGACAGCUUUCUGGACCAUAGCUGACGCUGAGACACGAAAGCGUGGGUAGCAAACAGG
rnacentral:rRNA from 1 species